rnacentral:rRNA from 1 species
AAGGCGAAGCUCCUGAUCGAAGCCCCAGUAAACGGCGGCCGUAACUAUAACGGUCCUAAGGUAGCGAAAUUCCUUGUCGGGUAAGUUCCGACCUGCACGAAUGGCGUAAUGAUGGCCAGGCUGUCUCCACCCGAGACUCAGUGAAAUUGAACUCGCUGUGAAGAUGCAGUGUACCCGCGGCAAGACGGAAAGACCCCGUGAACCUUUACUAUAGCUUGACACUGAACAUUGAGCCUUGAUGUGUAGGAUAGGUGGGAGGCUUUGAAGUGUGGACGCCAGUCUGCAUGGAGCCAACCUUGAAAUACCACCCUUUAACGUUUGAUGUUCUAACCUAGGCCCAUAAACUGGGUCGGGGACCGUGUCUGGUGGGUAGUUUGACUGGGGCGGUCUCCUCCUAAAGAGUAACGGAGGAGCACGAAGGUUGGCUAAGCAUGGUCGGACAUCAUGCGGUUAGUGCAAAGGCAUAAGCCAGCUUGACUGCGAGAGUGACGGCUCGAGCAGGUACGAAAGUAGGUCUUAGUGAUCCGGUGGUUCUGAAUGGAAGGGCCAUCGCUCAACGGAUAAAAGGUACUCCGGGGAUAACAGGCUGAUACCGCCCAAGAGUUCAUAUCGACGGCGGUGUUUGGCACCUCGAUGUCGGCUCAUCACAUCCUGGGGCUGAAGUAGGUCCCAAGGGUAUGGCUGUUCGCCAUUUAAAGUGGUACGCGAGCUGGGUUUAGAACGUCGUGAGACAGUUCGGUCCCUAUCUGCCGUGGGCGUUGGAAGAUUGAGAGGGGUUGCUCCUAGUACGAGAGGACCGGAGUGAACGCACCACUGGUGUUCGGGUUGUCAUGCCAAUGGCAUUGCCCGGUAGCUAAGUGCGGAAGAGAUAACCGCUGAAAGCAUCUAAGCGGGAAACUUGCCUCGAGAUGAGUCUUCCCUGU